rnacentral:rRNA from 1 species
CAGUAGCCGCGGGAAUACAGAGGGUGCGAGCGUUAAUCGGAUUUACUGGGCGUAAAGCGUGCGUAGGCGGCUUUUUAAGUCGGAUGUGAAAUCCCUGAGCUUAACUUAGGAAUUGCAUUCGAUACUGGGAAGCUAGAGUACGGGAGAGGAUGGUAGAAUUCCAGGUGUAGCGGUGAAAUGCGUAGAGAUCUGGAGGAAUACCGAUGGCGAAGGCAGCCAUCUGGCCUAAUACUGACGCUGAGGUACGAAAGCAUGGGGAGCAAACAGGAUUAGAUACCCGCGUAGUCCCUGUCUCUUAUAC